GAUCCUGGCUCAGGAUGAACGCUAGCUACAGGCUUAACACAUGCAAGUCGAGGGGCAGCAUUCCAGUUUGCUUGCAAACUGGAGAUGGCGACCGGCGCACGGGUGAGUAAAACGUAUCCAACCUGCCGAUAACUCGGGGAGUAGCCUUUCGUAAAGAAAGAUUAAUACCGAUGGCAUAAUAGAACCGCAUGGUUUGAUUAUUAAAGAAUUUCGGUUUAUCGAUGGGGAGUGCGUUCCAUUAGG
rnacentral:rRNA from 1 species